AUUCUUCGGAGACAUUGAAAUCUCGUCGAAGUUGGAGUAGAAGUGAGAGUGACCCUCAGAUUAAAAAAUGAAACUUUACGUUUUGGUCCUCGCGAUUCUGUCGAUCGCUGUGCUCGUCGCAUCAGCGCCUGCCUCUUCGGAGGACUCUAGUUCGGAUUCGGAUUCGGCAGUGGACGUCGCGGGCACUCCUCCCGCCGGCGGUGCUGACUUCAGUGUUGGAGGAGUUGAGAGUUCUGGGAGGGAAAAACGUCAUGCCCAACGCGCCCCCCACUGGGCGGAACUUGUAAUCAAGGGGCCGCCGCACGGAAAAUAGAAAAUGCAAUGUUCCAUCAAAAACCAUUACUCGACUCUUUAAGUCGGAAUGACAAUUAGGAAAUGCUAUGUAAACUUGGUUCCUGCAUAUCAAUAAAUUCUCAAGAUGCAUACAACGCAUACAAA